AGAGAAACUAACCAGGAUUCCCGCAGUAACGGCGAGCGAAGUGGGAAGAGCUCGAGCCUGUAAUCUCUGGCACUAUUGCCAGCGAAUUGUGGCUGGGAGAGGUGGCUUGGUCCUGUCUUGCGGCGUCAAAGUUGACCUGGAAGGGCACGUCGGAGAGGGUGAGAACCCCGUUGUUGACCCCGCAAGUGUGGGCAGACGCCGCCUUCUGAGAGUCGGGUUGUUUGGGAAUGCAGCCCAAAGUGGGUGGUAAACUCCAUCUAAAGCUAAAUACGGACACGAGACCGAUAGCGAACAAGUACCAUGAGGGAAAGGUGAAAAGUACUUUGAAAAGAGAGUCAAAGAGACCGCGAAACCGUUUGGAGGGAAGCGAAUGCAGCUUGAUGACUCCGUUCGGGUUCAGGGAGGGUAUAGUCGGCCUGCUUGUGCGGGUCAACUCGCGAGAGUGUCCCGCCUUGUUUGACCGGUGACCCUUCUGCAUUCCCGUCUUGGAGUUGGCCAACGAGGGUGGUUGGUGGCCAGUGCAAGGCUGGAGGGCAGGUGCCUUCAAUGGCUUUCGGGUCGUUGGAGAACUUAAAGCCUCCCGACUGGUUUCGGUU
rnacentral:rRNA from 1 species